rnacentral:rRNA from 1 species
GACAGAGGGUGCAAACGUUGUUCGGAAUUACUGGGCGUAAAGCGAGUGUAGGCGGUCUCGUAAGUCGGGUGUGAAAGCCCCGGGCUCAACCCGGGAAGUGCACUCGAAACUGCGAGGCUAGAGUAUCGGAGAGGUUGGUGGAAUUCUCGGUGUAGAGGUGAAAUUCGUAGAUAUCGAGGGGAACACCGGUGGCGAAGGCGGCCAACUGGACGAAUACUGACGCUGAGACUCGAAAGCGUGGGGAGCAAACAGG